rnacentral:lncRNA from 1 species
CCAAACCCUAUGAAACCCAAUUCUAUACCUUUUGAAGGAGCUUGAAGCUAGCUCUCCGAUCCAAAAAUCUCGAUCUCCAAAUGCCUUCUUUUUUUUCCUCUCUUUUCCUUUAACUCCAUGAAGUCCUCUAUUCUUCCCCCCUAGACUCCGAAUUGGAACAGCAGACCCGCCUCCAUGGAAUUCCCACCUCUAUGGAAUUCCU